UUGAAAAAUUUGUAUUAUAACACGUGGUGAAUCAUUAUUUAACUGUAGUGAAUCGUUAUUACUCUGUGGUGAAUUGUAAUAUGACUCGUUGGUGAAAUGUUACAUUACUGUUUAUAGACAUGGUACAUGUAGUUAGGCAAUGGUAGACUAUACGUUAUUUAUAUUUUGUUCAAAAUUGAUUAAUAUACAGUUUAAGAUAUUUUUAAGAUUUUUUUUUUAAACAUGCAGUUGAAUAAUUUAAUGUAUGAUAAACCACAGAUUUAAGGCUAUACACAUUAGACAUUCUUCUUUUUUUAUAUUGCUAUAUGUAUAAUGUAUAAUUGGUUUAUAGAUAAUUAACAUGUUAAGGCUUGCCCAAAGUACAUAUGUAAAAUAUACGAAGCUCAUACUUUUAAUACUCUGACCUACCCAAACUUUGGUAAGGUUUUGGAAAAGCGGAGAAAAUUACCAAGGGUUUGUUUACCUUGUGGAUACCUGCCAUGUCAAUGCAGUGUUUUUUUACCCUGAAUAGUUCAAAUAAGUUCUGAUCGAGUUUUCUUCACAAGUUUAAUAUAUGAUAGAUAUUUUUAAAACUAAAAAGGAAAGAAAAUAAGAAUCCAAAAGUCUAAAUGUAAAAAGAAUCAAGUUAAAACCAGAAAAACUAAGUUGCUUUAAUGAUUAGCCUGCUGGAGCUAACUGAUUCCACACAUGUAAAUUUCAGUCAGUGCAGACCAAGAUUAGUCAACACAUUGGUGCCAACUGUGCAUGGUCUGCACUGUUUGCUAUUUAGUCAGUAUAUAUUUUCCCCAAAGAUAAUGAAUGAUUGUGUCCAGAUUGAAACGUAGAGGAGUCCAUUGAAUUAAGAUAUAUCUUGGUAAACAGUUAACACUUCUAUUUCUUUUUAUGAUUACAGGAUUCAAGAAAGGUGCUGAUGAAGGGAUGCCAGAGUUGUCUUUGUUAAGUUUAUUAUGGCAAUAGAGUAUUUAAACUGUGAACAGAAGUGAUCCAGAGUAAAUGCCUUUAGAAGAGGAUGACAACAACAAAAAAAUUAA